rnacentral:rRNA from 1 species
GUAGGUGGCAAGCGUUGUCCGGAAUUAUUGGGCGUAAAGCGCGCGCAGGCGGUUCUUUAAGUCUGAUGUGAAAGCCCACGGCUCAACCGUGGAGGGUCAUUGGAAACUGGAGAACUUGAGUACAGAAGAGGAAAGCGGAAUUCCGCGUGUAGCGGUGAAAUGCGUAGAGAUGUGGAGGAACACCAGUGGCGAAGGCGGCUUUCUGGUCUGUAACUGACGCUGAGGCGCGAAAGCGUGGGGAGCAAACAGGAUUAGAUACCCUGGUAGUCCACGCCGUAAACGAUGAGUGCUAAGUGUUAGGGGGUUUCCGCCCCCCUUAGUGCUGCAGCUAACGCAUUAAGCACUCCGCCUGGGAGUACGACCGCAAGGUUG